ensembl:lncRNA
GGGGACACUUCCCUGCUCCUUUCAAGUGAUUCCCUCAAGCUGGGAGCAGCUGGGAGCUCUGUGGGUACAGAGAUGUUUCUGUAAGUCACUGUUUGCCACCCUGAACACAUUUUUAAUAUUGAAUAGGAGAAGCUGUUUUUCCAGGUAAGGGAUGGUAACCUUCUACCUUUGGGUGGGGAUUAAAAAAUCCAAUUAAUUUAACUUAGCUAAUGAAAAAGCAAUCUCUGUUGCUAAAGAACAGGGUAUUCCUCAGGCUUUAGCAGCAGGAACGCCCUGAGCAGCCUGCCCAGGCCCUGCCCUGCUGCAUGAGGGGUUUCCAGGCUGGCUCCUGCUCACUGUUUGCCUUGUCCCCCCAGCCCAGCCCCUGCUGCUGCCCUACAAGCCCUCGGGAAGCUCUGGCAUGUAUUAUGUGCCUUUCCAGACAGCAGGAGGCAGCGUGGAGCCCGAGGCCAGCACAGCCAGCUCCCACUCAGGCUCAGAGGAUGCUCCUGCUGCAGGGAUCCUGGCCCAGGUGCUGGCUCUGGGGGAUGCAGCCUGGGCAGCUGCCCAGCACACAGGGACAGCCCGUGGGCACUGGCCUAAGCUGGCCUGGGCUGAGGAGCACUGGACACCGCUGGGACAGCCUUCAGGGCUCCCAGCUGGUUCUCAGCGUGCAGAACCCUCCCGUGGUGUCCCUGAGCCCCGCACCAUGCCCACCAGGCAGAGCUGCAGCCAGCAGCCCAGGGAGCCCUGCAGGGCCAGGGCUGGAGCUGGGCACGCUGCCCAGGGCACAGCAGGGCAGUUCUUUGCCCUCCCUGCAGAGGCUGACGACAGCAGGAGCGAGGAGCUGAGCGCCAGGCCAUCCUCUGGGCACGGGGCAGCUGGCACGGGGCUGCCCCAGGGCGCUGCUGGCACCGAGCCUGCCCCACGGGGCCGGGCUGCUCACCUGCAGGACAGCGUGGGGAAGGCACCACGGCACAGGGGCCACGCCAGGGGCGGCCUGGACGAGCUGUGGCUGAGCUUCCUGGAGCGCCAGGGCACCCAGCAGCAGCAGCAGCUCAGGAGGAGCGGGGAGCUGACCCUCGUGCAGCGCCUGGAUCGGCUGGCCAGGCUCCUGCAGAACCCCAUCAGGCACACCCUGGCAGCCACAGCUGCUGGGGACAAGGGUCCUGGGCAGGAAAUGCAGGGAAGGGAGCAGCCAGAAACUGGGCUGGCAGGAAAAGCCAGGUCUGGGAGCAGCACGGAGCCAAAGGGAGCACGAGUGGCACAGAGGCCACGUGUGAGCCAUGGCAGCAGCAGCCCAGGGGAGCUCAGGGCAGCCAGGCCGGGGCAGAAGGUGAUCCAGCACCUGGGCAGGAUCCUGGAGGAGCAGCAGCACCUGGGCAGGGUCCUGGAGGAGCAGCAGCGCCUGAGCAGGGUCCUGGAGGAGCAGCAGCACCUGAGCAGGGUCCUAGAGGGAGCAGCAGCGCCUGGGCAGGGUCCUGGAGGAGCAGCAGCACCUGGGCAGGGUCCUGGAGGAGCAGCAGCGCCUGGGCAGGGUCCUGGAGGAGCAGCAGCACCUGGGCAUCCCGAGUGA